AUGAUCUCCGGCGCCAUUCCUUCUUCUUUUUGCAAGUUGCGAUCAUUGCAGUUGUUAGAUCUAUCAAGAAAUAAUCUCAAUGGGUCAAUCACUGAUUGCCUAGUCAAUGGGUCCAACACAAACAUGACAGGUCUGAGUAUCACUAAUCUAAGCUUAAGAAACAACAACCUCUCGGGUGCAUUUCCUUUGCUACUGCAGAAAUGUACACGACUCAUCUUUCUUGAUCUCAGCAAUAAUCAGUUCUCUGGGACUUUACAAGCAUGGAUUGGGGAGAAGCUAUUGUCUUUGUCAUUCUUACGACUGAGAUCCAAUAUAUUUUAUGGUCACAUUCCAGUUGAGCUUACGAAGUUUGUUAAUCUGCAAUAUUUGGACCUUGCGUACAACAAUAUAUCAGGGAGCAUACCGAGAUCUAUUAGUAAUUGCACAGGCAUGGCACAAACAAGAGGCAACUCUGAUAAUCUUCGGUAUGCCUUCAAUUAUAUAUCUGGGGUUAAUGACAAUGUACUAGUUGUCUACAGUGAGAAUUUCACAGUACUCACGAAAGGUCAAGAGAGAUUAUAUACAGGAGAAUUCAUAUAUAUGGUGAAUCUUGAUUUAUCUUGUAAUAGUCUUACCGGAGCGAUACCCGCAGAUAUCAGCACUCUCGUCGCAUUGAAGAGCCUGAACUUAUCAUGGAACAAUUUCAAUGGAAAAAUCCCUGCGAAUAUUGGUGCCUUGAUGCAAGUGGAGUCACUCGACCUGUCACACAAUGAGUUGUCCGGUGAAAUCCCUUCAAGCUUAUCGGCUCUAACAUCAUUGAGUCGUCUGAACCUGUCCUACAACAAUCUGAGAGGAAAGAUACCAACUGGAAAUCAACUGCAAACACUUGAAGACCAGGCAUCUAUUUAUAUUGGCAACCCGGGUCUCUGCGGUCCUCCUCUCUCGCUGAAUUGUUCACAGUCCAAGCCAAUUCCAGGAGAAAAUCAUGGAGAUGCAUGUGACGGCAACGUGGUUUCGUCUUUCAUCGCCACGGGUUCCGGAUAUGUGAUGGGUCUCUGGGUGGUCUUCUGCACGUUCUUGUUCAAGAGGAGAUGGAGAGUUUCGUGGUACUCGCUCUGCGACAGCCUGUAUGACCGGGUUUAUGUGCAAGUGGCUGUUACCUGGGCUUCCUUGAGAGGUAAAAAGUAA
rnacentral:rRNA from 1 species